rnacentral:rRNA from 1 species
UACGUAGGGGGCUAGCGUUGUCCGGAUUUAUUGGGCGUAAAGGGCGCGUAGGCGGCUUGGCAAGUGGAAGGUGAAAUCCCUCGGCUUAACCGAGGAACUGCCCUCCAAACUGCUUCGCUUGAGACCGGGAGAGGUGAGUGGAAUUCCCAGUGUAGCGGUGAAAUGCGUAGAUAUUGGGAGGAACACCAGUGGCGAAGGCGGCUCACUGGACCGGUACUGACGCUGAUGCGCGAAAGCGUGGGGAGCAAACGGG